rnacentral:rRNA from 1 species
UACGGGGGGGGGCAAGCGUUUGUUCGGAAUUACUGGGCGUAAAGGGCUCGUAGGCGCCAACUAAGUCAUACGUGAAAUCCCUCGGCUUAACCGGGGAACUGCGUCUGAUACUGGAUGGCUUGAGUUCGGGAGAGGGAUGCGGAAUUCCAGGUGUAGCGGUGAAAUGCGUAGAUAUCUGGAGGAACACCGGGUGGCGAAGGCGGCAUCCUGGACCGAUACUGACGCUGAGGAGCGAAAAGCCAGGGGGAGCAAACGGG